rnacentral:rRNA from 1 species
GACGAACGCUGGCGGCGUGCUUAACACAUGCAAGUCGAACGCUGAAGCUCAGCUUUUGUUGGGUGGAUGAGUGGCGAACGGGUGAGUAACACGUGAGUAACCUGCCCUCUUCUUUGGGAUAACGCCCGGAAACGGGUGCUAAUACUGGAUAUUCACUGAUCUUCGCAUGGGGGUUGGUGGAAAGGUUUGUUCUGGUGGGGGAUGGGCUCGCGGCCUAUCAGCUUGUUGGCGGGGUAACGGCCCACCAAGGCGACGAUCAGUAGGGGUUCUGAGAGGAAGGUCCCCCACAUUGGAACUGAGACACGGUCCAAACUCCUACGGGAGGCAGCAGUGAGGAAUAUUGGUCAAUGGACGGAAGUCUGAACCAGCCAAGUAGCGUGCAGGAUGACGGCCCUAUGGGUUGUAAACUGCUUUUGUAUGGGGAUAAAGUUAGGGACGUGUCCCUAUUUGCAGGUACCAUACGAAUAAGGACCGGCUAAUUCCGUGCCAGCAGCCGCGGUAAUACGGAAGGUCCAGGCGUUAUCCGGAUUUAUUGGGUUUAAAGGGAGCGUAGGCUGGAGAUUAAGUGUGUUGUGAAAUGUAGACGCUCAACGUCUGAAUUGCAGCGCAUACUGGUUUCCUUGAGUACGCACAACGUUGGCGGAAUUCGUCGUGUAGCGGUGAAAUGCUUAGAUAUGACGAAGAACUCCGAUUGCGAAGGCAGCUGACGGGAGCGCAACUGACGCUUAAGCUCGAAGGUGCGGGUAUCAAACAGG